UGGGGAAUAUUGGACAAUGGGCGAAAGCCUGAUCCAGCCAUGCCGCGUGAAGGAUGAAGUAUUUCGGUAUGUAAACUUCGAAAGAAUAGGAAGAAUAAAUGACGGUACUAUUUAUAAGGUCCGGCUAACUACGUGUCAGCAGCCGCGGUAAUACGUAGGGACCAAGCGUUGUUCGGAUUUACUGGGCGUAAAGGGCGCGUAGGCGGUUUGUCAAGUCAGUUGUGAAAUCUCCGAGCUUAACUCGGAACGGUCAACUGAUACUGUCAAACUAGAGUACAGAAGGGGCAAUCGGAAUUCUUGGUGUAGCGGUGAAAUGCGUAGAUAUCAAGAGGAACACCUGAGGCGAAGGCGGGUUGCUGGGCUGAUACUGACGCUGAAGCGCGAAAGCUAGGGUAGCAAACGGGAUUAGAUACCCGGGUAGUCCCUGAGCGGGCUGGCAAGGCGCAU
rnacentral:rRNA from 1 species